AAAAAAACCCCUACGAUUAAAAACCUCAGGUCCCUCAGGCAAUCAUACCAGAUAUUGAAACAAAGCAAUAACAUAAGGACUGCAGUAUUCAUUUUAUUUUUAUAUUAUUUAUUUAUUCUUCCUUAGUUUCUUGAGAUUAUCAUCCGCUGAGGGUGGAAGGGGAGUGAGCAGACACACUCAGGAGGUGUCUUGAGAUUAUCAUCCGCUGAGGGUGGAGCUGAGGGUGGAAGGGGAGUGAGCAGACACUCGGGAGGUGUCUUGAGAUUAUCAUCCGCUGAGGGUGGAGCUGAGGGUGGAAGGGGAGUGAGCAGACACUCGGGAGGUGUCUUGAGAUUAUCAUCCGCUGAGGGUAGAGCUGAGGGUGGAAGGGGAGUGAGCAGACACUCGGGAGGUGUCUUGAGGCUCAGGGAGUUAUCAAUUAUAGAAUGUUGUUGAGUUGGAGGAGGUGGCUGGUGGCCCAUCCUGUUUUUUAAAGUUUCAGCUGUGAGGUAGGGCCAGUAGGGCAAUCCUG
rnacentral:lncRNA from 1 species